UGGGGAAUUUUGGACAAUGGGGGAAACCCUGAUCCAGCCAUCCCGCGUGUGCGAUGAAGGCCUUCGGGUUGUAAAGCACUUUUGGCAGGAAAGAAACGUCAUGGGUUAAUACCCCGUGAAACUGACGGUACCUGCAGAAUAAGCACCGGCUAACUACGUGCCAGCAGCCGCGGUAAUACGUAGGGUGCAAGCGUUAAUCGGAAUUACUGGGCGUAAAGCGUGCGCAGGCGGUUCGGAAAGAAAGAUGUGAAAUCCCAGAGCUCAACUUUGGAACUGCAUUUUUAACUACCGGGCUAGAGUGUGUCAGAGGGAGGUGGAAUUCCGCGUGUAGCAGUGAAAUGCGUAGAUAUGCGGAGGAACACCGAUGGCGAAGGCAGCCUCCUGGGAUAACAAUGACACUCAUGCACGAAAGCGUGGGGAGCAAACAGG
rnacentral:rRNA from 1 species